ACUGAAGUCUUCCGGCGGCCGAUGUUGUUGCUUCCGAACGUCCGUCCGAAAUAAACGAGCGACUUUCAGGAGUCGACUUGGGUUUCUUGGUCAAGUUCCGAGCACUCCUCCGAACCACCGACAGGAGUCAAGUCACACCGGCCACGCUGGGACAUUUGAAGAACAACAAAGAUGGACGAUGGAAUUGUGACAAACUCGACGGAGGAAAGAAUGCUGUUGUGUCCAUCGAACGCUCAGUGUCUGUUGCUAUGCCGACCGCCGACCCGCGACCGAUCUCCGCCGCUCGUCGAUGACAUCACUUCCUCCAGGAAGCUGAGACGAGAGAGAGAGAGGCGUGUGCGCAUGUGUCUCGUGUAUGCACGUGUGUAUUUGUGUUUGCGUGUGUAAGUCACCUCUUGGUGUUGAGCAUGGUGCUCCCUCCCAGUACGAUGCGAACGCCAGGUGUGUUGCGGUUCAUGUUGUACACACACAGAGCUUCUUCGUAAGUCGCUCCUCCGAUCACAAACACGACCACGUCCUGGGGUCUGCGCGCACACGCGUGUAAACACACACGCGUCAUUGACAGUUACGCAACGUCAGCGACGAGCCGUCACCUGCCGCGGCGACCCGUCACCUGUCUCUGAGGCUGCUGGCUCCCAAAUACGGAAACUGACUGUCCUUCAGGCGACCUUUCACCAGCUGAUCCAGCGUGUCGUGAAGAAGGGGCUGAUGCUGCGCGUACACGUUCUCCACACCCUGCACGCACACACGCGUGGCGGUGAAGGUGUCACGUGGCGUGUGUGUUUACAGCCGGUCGCCGUGGUGAUUGUGCACACACCUUGAGGCCUUUGAAGAACUGUUUGGUGAUGGCGACGGCGUCUGUCGGCGCGAUGAGGUCACUUCCUCUAACCCUCUUGCCGCCGUACUCCACCAUACAUUGGACCAUCUGACACACAACAACCAAUUUGCGUGGUUGGAUUCACAUUGUCCUUGGUCACCGGUCAACAUCAGGGUACACAUAGACAAACAAAAUACAGUGGUGCCUUGAGAUUUGAGUUUAAUUCGUACCAUGGCCAUGCUCUUAACUCAAAAUACUAUUAUCUCAAAUCGUCUUUCCCAAUUGAAAUGAAUAGAAAUGCAAUUAAUCAAUUGCAGCCUCCCUGUCUUUCCCCAGAAAAAAAAUAGCACUUUAUAAUAUUGUACUUUAUAAAAACACAGCAUGAUACAAUAAUUAAAUAGAAUCUAAAGCAUUAAACAGUUUGCGCCUCGUGAUCUAAUGUUUUAUCCAAGUGUUCUGCGCCUUCUGGUGUGCCACCGGGAGGCGCUAUUUUAUAGUACAGUAAUGCAAACAAAUGAAGAAUACACUUCUUCUGCUCUUCUACCACUCAGUAAGUUGCUGUAAUAUUAGUCUUUUUUUUUUUUUUGUCAACGAUGAAGAAUAUAUCCCAGCGAGUAAUGUUAUAUUAUGUCUAUAUGUGUUGUUCCACCAUAUUUGUUUGAAUGUCUGUUUCUUAAAGGGUUAUAAAACCACGACUGUCGAUUCUGUUAGCAUGUCAACUGUGUUUUCCAUUCAUUUGGCUGUUGUUUGUUAGGAUUAAGCUGGCGGACUUACAUGACGCAAAGCUGUGGUUGUUUUACAAAGGCAACUUGUAAUUCUCUUUUAUUUUAUGCUUAGUUUGUCCAUAAACUGCACCUGGGAUUGGCAUUAAACAGCUUGAAAUCUCUUUUUUUGAUUAAAUGUUCACCAUUUGUUAAUGUCUUGUUGUGAAGUUGAACUGAGUUUACUGCCACCAAGUGCUCAUAUCUCAAGUUUGCGCUUGCAAGUCAAAGCGGAAAUUUGGCCGAACGACGGCUCGUAUCUCAAAAACCCGUAAAUCGGGUCACUCGUAUCUCAAGGUACCACUGUAAUCCUCUCACAUUCACACCUAUAGAUUUUUUUUUUCUCCAUCUUAAAUGAAGCUAGCAUGCCAACCUGUUUUUGGAAUGUGGGAGAAUGCCCCGAACCCUGAACCUCAGAAAUGUGAGGCAGACGUGCCAACCGAUCCAAAGACAUCCGAGUCACAACUUGAGGUGUUUUGAGCACGUACCUUGCGGUGCCUCUCCGACACGCCUCUUCUGCUGAGUUCGUCCAUGAGGCUGGACAGGAUGCUGCUGCUGUGGCGUUCGUAGCGCAGCGCGUACAGCAUCACCAGGCGGACGGCGUCCAGCUCGGACAGGCGCGGGUUCUGCAGCAGGCGGCGCACGUUCUGUAUACACAGCGGGAGCAGCAGGCACAUUUUACUCCGACAAUGGACGUCGGCAGUCAUCGGCAAAAGUUGAUUACAGGCACAUAUACGCCUUAAUUGUUGAAGA